rnacentral:rRNA from 1 species
AUUGAACGCUGGCGGCAGGCCUAACACAUGCAAGUCGAGCGGAUGAAGGGAGCUUGCUCCUGGUUUCAGCGGCGGACGGGUGAGUAAUGCCUAGGAAUCUGCCUGGUAGUGGGGGAUGACGUCCGGAAACGGGCGCUAAUACCGCAUACGUCCUGAGGGAGCAAGUGGGGGAUCUUCGGACCUGACGGUUGGAGAUGAGCCUACGUCGGAUUAGCUAGUUGGUGGGGUAAUGGCCUACCAAGGCGAUGAUGCGUAGCUGGCCUGAGAGGGUGACCGGUCACAGUGGGACUGAGAUACGGCCAAGACUCCUACGGGAGGCAGCAGUGGGGAAUAUUGCACAAUGGGCGGAAGCGUGAUGCAGCAACGACGCGUGCGGGAUGACGGCCUUCGUGUUGUAAACCGCUUUCGCCUGUGACGAAGCGUGAGUGACGGUAAUGGGUAAAGAAGCACCGGCUAACUACGUG